rnacentral:rRNA from 1 species
GAUGAACGCUGGCGGCGUGCCUAAUACAUGCAAGUCGAGCGAACGGACGAGAAGCUUGCUUCUCUGAUGUUAGCGGCGGACGGGUGAGUAACACGUGGAUAACCUACCUAUAAGACUGGGAUAACUUCGGGAAACCGGAGCUAAUACCGGAUAAUAUUUUGAACCGCAUGGUUCAAAAGUGAAAGACGGUCUUGCUGUCACUUAUAGAUGGAUCCGCGCUGCAUUAGCUAGUUGGUAAGGUAACGGCUUACCAAGGCAACGAUGCAUAGCCGACCUGAGAGGGUGAUCGGCCACACUGGAACUGAGACACGGUCCAGACUCCUACGGGAGGCAGCAGUAGGGAAUCUUCCGCAAUGGGCGAAAGCCUGACGGAGCAACGCCGCGUGAGUGAUGAAGGUCUUCGGAUCGUAAAACUCUGUUAUUAGGGAAGAACAUAUGUGUAAGUAACUGUGCACAUCUUGACGGUACCUAAUCAGAAAGCCACGGCUAACUACGUGCCAGCAGCCGCGGUAAUACGUAGGUGGGCAGCCGUAUCCCGAANUUAUUGGGCGUAAAGCGCGCGUAGGCGGUUUUUUAGCCUGAUGUGAAAGCCCACGGCUCAACCGUGGAGGGUCAUUGGAAACUGGAAAACUUGAGUGCAGAAGAGGAAAGUGGAAUUCCAUGUGUAGCGGUGAAAUGCGCAGAGAUAUGGAGGAACACCAGUGGCGAAGGCGACUUUCUGGUCUGUAACUGACGCUGAUGUGCGAAAGCGUGGGGAUCAAACAGGAUUAGAUACCCUGGUAGUCCACGCCGUAAACGAUGAGUGCUAAGUGUUAGGGGGUUUCCGCCCCUUAGUGCUGCAGCUAACGCAUUAAGCACUCCGCCUGGGGAGUACGACCGCAAGGUUGAAACUCAAAGGAAUUGACGGGGACCCGCACAAGCGGUGGAGCAUGUGGUUUAAUUCGAAGCAACGCGAAGAACCUUACCAAAUCUUGACAUCCUUUGACAACUCUAGAGAUAGAGCCUUCCCCUUCGGGGGACAAAGUGACAGGUGGUGCAUGGUUGUCGUCAGCUCGUGUCGUGAGAUGUUGGGUUAAGUCCCGCAACGAGCGCAACCCUUAAGCUUAGUUGCCAUCAUUAAGUUGGGCACUCUAAGUUGACUGCCGGUGACAAACCGGAGGAAGGUGGGGAUGACGUCAAAUCAUCAUGCCCCUUAUGAUUUGGGCUACACACGUGCUACAAUGGACAAUACAAAGGGCAGCGAAACCGCGAGGUCAAGCAAAUCCCAUAAAGUUGUUCUCAGUUCGGAUUGUAGUCUGCAACUCGACUACAUGAAGCUGGAAUCGCUAGUAAUCGUAGAUCAGCAUGCUACGGUGAAUACGUUCCCGGGUCU